CUGGGAAGCUUUUCGCGGUAUGGGAUGGGGUCGCGUCCUAUCAGCUUGACGGCGGGGUAACGGCCCACCGUGGCUUCGACGGGUAGCCGGCCUGAGAGGGCGACCGGCCACAUUGGGACUGAGAUACGGCCCAGACUCCUACGGGAGGCAGCAGUGGGGGAUAUUGCACAAUGGGCGCAAGCCUGAUGCAGCGACGCCGCGUGAGGGAUGGAGGCCUUCGGGUUGUAAACCUCUUUUAUCGGGGAGCAAGCGAGAGUGAGUUUACCCGUUGAAUAAGCACCGGCUAACUACGUGCCAGCAGCCGCGGUAAUACGUAGGGUGCAAGCGUUAUCCGGAAUUAUUGGGCGUAAAGGGCUCGUAGGCGGUUCGUCGCGUCCGGUGUGAAAGUCCAUCGCUUAACGGUGG
rnacentral:rRNA from 1 species